CCCUAUUAUUUUUGAUGUUAAUUUUUUGGCCUGAGUAGUACUAGUUAUGUUCUUGAAACUUAAAGAAUUUGGCGGUAUUUCAUUCUGUUCAGAGGAAUCUGCCUCGUUAUCGAUAAUCCACGUUGGACCUUACUUGGUUUAAUUUGUUUGUAUACCGCCGUUAUAAUGAAGAUCUUUUUAGAGUUUAUUUUAAUUUUCUUCUUUCACAACUUUGGUUUAUUUCAGGUCAAGGUGCAGCUUAUGGUCAAGUGUUUGGUGGAUUACAUUUAUAAAUUUAUUAUCGGAUCACUGGUUGUAAUUUUGGUGUGAAGUUGGAUUUGAUUGUAACUGAUUGAAGUUUGUUUUGGUGAUUUAUGUUUUGUAAUAUGCACACAUCGCCCGUCGCUCUCGUUAUUAGGCGAGAUAAGUC
rnacentral:rRNA from 1 species